rnacentral:rRNA from 1 species
AUGCUUACUGAGUACUUCGAAAUGAAUCGAAAGAAUCCUUAUGCGCGACAAUGGUUGUACAGAGAUUUUCCGGAACACUUUAUAUGGGAUGCAUCAAAGAAGAUAUGGUAUAAAAGAAAACAAAGGCCACAUAUUGGUAGAAUUGUGUAUGCACACCCUGCUGAGGAGGAGAGGUACUAUUUGCGGUUGCUCUUGAAUCAUGUCUCAGGUGCGACAUCCUAUGAUGAUUUGAAAAAGGUGCGAGGCAUUACGUGCUCUACUUUCAUAGAGGCAUGUGAACAAUUAGGAUUAAUUGAGCACGACAAAUCACUUGAUCACUGCCUGACUGAAGCUGCAACAUUUCAGAUGCCUUGUGCUCUGAGACGCUUGUUUGCCACUAUCUUAGUAUUUUGUGAGGUUACAAAAAUCCAAGAGUUGUGGGACAAACACCUGGAGUCGAUGUCUCGGGAUCACCGAUGUUCCCAGCCCAACGAGGCAAUACUUGAGCAGAUGGUCCUUAGAUACAGGGAUUUGUUGCAUUCCAUGGGGAAGGAUAUUAAAACCUAUGGCCUUCCGGAGCUGGUUGAUACAAAUGCUUUUCUAGGCGAUGAGUGCAUGGAGGUUAGAGAGGAGAGGGAGGUCGGUGUGGACCAAGAACAUAUUGAUCUUAUCAACUCUUUAAACAGUGAGAAACUAGCUGGGUUCAAUGACAUCAUGGACCAUAUCAUGAACAAAAGAAGCCAAGUCUUCUUUCUCAAUGCUCCAGGAGGCACUGGGACGACAUACUAUGUAGCAUUGCUUGCUAAGUGGGAUGAAGUUGCCAUGACAAAGCGUCAAGCCGUGGAGGCGCUUGAUAGGUCACCCCAAGACAUAAUGGGAUGUGCUUUGCCGUUUGGGGGGAAGAUUGUCGUUUUUGGUGGAGAUUGUAGGCAGGUCCUUCCAGUGGUUCCAAAAGGGACAAGAGCACAGAUCACAUAUGCUACAAUACAGAGAUCCUAUAUAUGGCAGAAGAUUCAUAAGAUAAACCUUACACGUAACAUGAGAUCACAAACUGGCCCUUUGUUCUCUGAGUAUCUCUUAAGGAUAGGCAAUGGAACCGAAGAAAUGAUAGGUGAUGAAUAUGUGCGUCUCCCUGAGGACAUUGUGAUCGGUCAUAUUGAUGAUGAAACCGCAAUCAAUAGGCUAAUCAAAGAAGUUUUCCCCUCUCUUUGUGCCAAUGCUAAAUCGGGAGAGUACACGAGCUCGCGUGCUAUUCUUUCCACAAAGAAUGACUAUGUUGAUGAGCUGAAUUCCGAGAUGAUUGACAUGUUUCUUGGCCAAGAGAAGGUAUACCAUAGCUUCAACUCUAUUGAGGAUGACUAA